GAUGAACGCUGGCGGCGUGCUUAACACAUGCAAGUCGAACGAUGAAGCCCAGCUUGCUGGGUGGAUUAGUGGCGAACGGGUGAGUAACACGUGAGUAACCUGCCCUUGACUCUGGGAUAAGCCUGGGAAACUGGGUCUAAUACUGGAUAUGACUUCUCAUCGCAUGGUGGGGGGUGGAAAGAUUUAUUGGUCUUGGAUGGACUCGCGGCCUAUCAGCUUGUUGGUGAGGUAAUGGCUCACCAAGGCGACGACGGGUAGCCGGCCUGAGAGGGUGACCGGCCACACUGGGACUGAGACACGGCCCAGACUCCUACGGGAGGCAGCAGUGGGGAAUAUUGCACAAUGGGCGCAAGCCUGAUGCAGCGACGCCGCGUGAGGGAUGACGGCCUUCGGGUUGUAAACCUCUUUCAGUAGGGAAGAAGCGAGAGUGACGGUACCUGCAGAAGAAGCGCCCGGCUACUACGUGCCAGCAGCCGCGGUAAUACGUAGGGCGCGAGCGUUAUCCGGAAUUAUGGGCGUAAAGAGCUCGUAAGCGGUUUGUCGCGUCUGCCGUGAAAGUCCGGGGCUUAACUCCGGAUCUGCGGUGGGUACGGGCAGACUAGAGUGCAGUAGGGGAGACUGGAAUUCCUGGUGUAGCGGUGAAAUGCGCAGAUAUCAGGAGGAACACCGAUGGCGAAGGCAGGUCUCUGGGCUGUAACUGACGCUGAGGAGCGAAAGCAUGGGGAGCGAACAGGAUUAGAUACCCUGGUAGUCCAUGCCGUAAACGUUGGGCACUAGGUGUGGGGGACAUUCCACGUUUUCCGCGCCGUAGCUAACGCAUUAAGUGCCCCGCCUGGGGAGUACGGCCGCAAGGCUAAAACUCAAAGGAAUUGACGGGGGCCCGCACAAGCGGCGGAGCAUGCGGAUUAAUUCGGUGCAACGCGAAGAACCUUACCAAGGCUUGACAUGUUCCUGAUCGCCGUAGAGAUACGGUUUCCCCUUUGGGGCAGGUUCACAGGUGGUGCAUGGUUGUCGUCAGCUCGUGUCGUGAGAUGUUGGGUUAAGUCCCGCAACGAGCGCAACCCUCGUUCCAUGUUGCUAGCACUUCGGGUGGGGACUCAUGGGAGACUGCCGGGGUCAACUCGGAGGAAGGUGGGGACGACGUCAAAUCAUCAUGCCCCUUAUGUCUUGGCCUUCACGCAUGCUACAAUGGCCGGUACAAUGGGUUGCGAUACUGUGAGGUGGAGCUAAUCCCAAAAAGCCGGUCUCAGUUCGGAUUGGGGUCUGCAACUCGACCCCAUGAAGUCGGAGUCGCUAGUAAUCGCAGAUCAGCAACGCUGCGGUGAAUACGUUCCCGGGCCU
rnacentral:rRNA from 1 species